GUGGGGCUGAGCCUCGAGAACCCGAGGGCGGACUUUUUUUUAAAAAACAAAUUUAUUUAUUUAUUUUUGGAUGCGUUGGGUCUUCGUUGCUGCGCGCGGACUUUCUCUAGUUGCGCUUCACGGGAUCAUACCUCUGUGAAGAACAAGCCCCGUGAGCCCACAGACAGAUUCAGGUACAAAACUGAAUGCCCUUACUUCGGCCAUGGGAGUGAGCCAUGGUGGACAUCCAGCCCAGAUGACCCACUGGUGGCUGCAGCCCCAGUCACUACCUGACUGCAACUCUGUGAGAGACCCCAAAUGAGAGCCACCCAGCUGAGCCCAAUCAAACCACAGAAGAUUGAGAGAUAAUAAUAAAUAUUUGUAUUAAGGUGCUGAGUUUGGAGAUAUCUUGAUACACAUCUAUGGGUAAUGAGCAAGAAAGGAACAAAACCAGAAUCUAAAGACUGGGGUCAGUUUCACUCUAAUGCGGUUGUGGUUAGCCUAUUGCUAAGCUUGAUAAUCGCCUGCCCACUUGGAGGUUUACAGGGUCUGCAUAUUAUUGAAGUGCUCAGUUUGCCUGUACCACCUCAUUGACCAUAUUCAAGGGCCAAACUGCUGCACAUAGAAUAUGAAUCAAGACACCUGAUCCUAAGACAUUUCCCUUCAACCUUUUUUUAAAGGAAGGAAAAGCAUCUUUGCUACAGUUUUUUGUUUUUUUUUUUCCCUGCGGUACGCGGGCCUCUUACCGUUGUGGCCUCUCCGGUUGCGGAGCACAGGCUCUGGACGCGCAGGCUCAGCGGCCAUGGCUCACGGGCCCAGCCGCUCCACGGCAUGUGGGAUCUUUCCGGACCGGGGCACGAACCCGUGUCCCCUGCAUCGGCAGGCGAACUCUCAACCACUGCGUCAUCAGGGAAGCCCUGCUAUAGUUUUAUAAAGGUUUUUAGUGGAGUGGUAAGCCAGAAACCCCCAGUCUGCGUCCAGCCUCCUCUUUGCAGAAAUGACCUCAGGUGAAGGCACCUCUCUGAACUUCAGUUUCCCCAUCUGAAAAAUGGGCACUGAGAUCAGCAGCUGCAUGGAGAUUCUGGGUGGGAAUGACUUUUCCGUGGAAUCAGUGAGUUUUGCAGCUGCCUCUCCGCCUUCGUGUCUCUGGCCAUCAGGAAUGAAUAAACAAGGCUUUUGUUUUCCUGCAAGUGGAGGAGGAUGGCAGCUUGUCUGGCCAUUGGAGGCUGCAGAGGCCAGGGGCCUGCUCACUAGACAGGGAAAUUGGGAAGUUUCCCACAUUGUGUUCUUUCCCUCAUCCUCCGGAUUUUCUCCUUUUUUAACCCCCCCCCAUUAGAAAAGCUUCAUUAUCUUUCGUGAUGAGUAAUAUUUACAUGUUAUAAAAAGUUCAAACAAACAUGAAGAAAAAAUUUAAAAGAUAUUUGCCAUUAUCUCACUAUGGAGAGAUAAGCAUUUGACUUUUUUUAACCUCCCUAUUCCACUUAACAAUUUAUUUAUUAUUUUUUAAUUUAUUUAUUUUUGGUUGCAUCGGGUCUUCGUUGCUGUGUGCAGGCUUUCUCUAGUUGAGGCGAGCGGGGGCUACUCUUCCUUGCUGUGCUCGGGCUUCUCAUUGCGGUGGCUUCUCCUGUUGCGGAGCACGGGCUCUAGGCACGCGGGCUUCAGUAGGUGUGGCAAGUGGGCUCAGUCACUGUGGCUCGCGGGCUUUAGAGCACAGGCUCAGUAGUUGUGGCGCACAGGGCUUAGAUGCUCCGAAGCAUAUGGGAUCUUCCUGGAACAGGGCUCGAACCCGUUUCCCGUGCAUUGACAGGCAGAUUCUUAACCACUGUGCCAGCAGGGAAGCCCCUCCACUUAACAGUUUAUUGUGGACACGGUUCAUGUUAAUGAAUUAGGUCAAUGUCAUCAUCGCACGUACAAUGGAGUAAAGAGCAGAGACUUAGGAACCAGACGGCCUGUAUCCAAAUUCCUUUUCCUCUACUCACUGGGUGUGUGACCUCCUUUACCCCUCUGCACUGGCUUCCUCACCUAUAAGAUGGGAACGACCACAGCUUCCACCUUACAGGGUUGUGGUGAUAUCCAAAUGAGCUGUCACCUGGCACACAGGUGCUAACCUCUCACUACAGCCACACUUACCGUGAGCCGUUGUGAUAUGGAGGUACCAUGACAUUUUUAACCCAUCUCCAAUUCUGGGCACUUUUGACUAAUAGACACACCUGUCUUUGCACCUUUGCUCAAGUAUUUUCUCUCAAAGACAAAUACCAUAUGACAUCACUUAUAUGUGGAAUCUAAAAUAUGGCACAAAUGAACGUAUCUAUGAAAUAGACUCAGACAUAGAGAACAAACU